UGCGUAGGCGGCGCGGUAAGUCGGGUGUGAAAUCUUGGAGCUUAACUCCGAAACUGCAUUCGAUACUGCCGUGCUUGAGGACUGGAGAGGAGACUGGAAUUUACGGUGUAGCGGUGAAAUGCGUAGAUAUCGUAAGGAAGACCAGUGGCGAAGGCGGGUCUCUGGACAGUUCCUGACGCUGAGGCACGAAGGCCAGGGGAGGCAAACG
rnacentral:rRNA from 1 species